AUGGCCACCAUGGCUCUUCGUGCUGCUGCGACCGGUUUCCUCCGGCCGGCCGCUGUUCCGAUGUGCGAGGGCUACACAUGCCUUGUCCCUAUGCUUUCAGCCGGAUCUGCUGAUGACAUCUACAACACCUUCCGUUUCGGGGCGUGCAGCGCAACCCAAGAGCUGGAAGACCCCCCCUGCCCUUUCAACUUCGGGGAGACGCUCCGUGAAGCUGGCACGAAGCUGAGCGAAUCUGCAUUUAUUCCUGUUGACCAUCUGCCUAAGCUGCGCCCAGAGGAUAUUUAUCAUAUCCUGGGCGGUGGUGCUGUCGUCGCGGGCUUGGUGAUGAUGUCCGAGGGAGAGAAAAAUGAUGAUAAAGAUGGGCAAACAUCUGAGAUCAUACACGAUCUAAAGGAGAAGCUGAGUGAAGUUACCGAGAGAGCGGAGAACCUCGCUGCUGAGAAUAAGAGGCUCCUUGAAGAUGUGGACAAGGUCAGGGAAGCUAACAAGCAACAUGGAUAUGAGGUCUGGAUGGAUACCAUUCGAUCCAUUCAUGAAAAGGAACUUGCUAGGCUUGAGGCUGGCAGUGACAAGGAGGGUGAUGGGAGUGGCAAUGACAACAAGGGCAAUAAGAGUGGCAAGAAGGACAAUGAGUGUGACAAGAAGGGCAAUGAGAGUGACAAGAAGGGUGGUAAGAGUGAUAAGAAGGAUGAAAAGCCGCUCGCAAAGAAGCUGUUAGAACUGUUGAUGGCACCAUCCACCGUGGAAACUUGGUACAAGGAUAUCACCUCCAACUGGGCCAAGUGGAGUUACUUAUUUGGCAUGGUCCCAGUUUUCUAUGCUCUCAAAAUGGCAGAUUAUGCAAAGAUUUUGAAGGGCGAUCUUAGCGGUAUAGAUCCUCGGGUUGAGGUGGUGGAGAGCAGGGCUUGCCCAUGUGGCAUUCCCUGGCCGCAGAGAUGCUCUAGAUGUGGCGGAGGACUCCCAAACUUCGUUGGCGAUUCGGGACUCGUCAGUUUCCCUGGUAUUCCAGGCGUCAAGGGCGAAACCUUCACAGCCACCACUCCCACUCCAGUCCCAAGGGCGACAUCUCCUCGGCCACCGCAGCCGUGA
rnacentral:rRNA from 1 species